rnacentral:lncRNA from 1 species
GCGGCCGCGGCUCACCACCCCCCGGCUGGUCCCCAGCCCGCGCCGAGUACCCCCGAGUGCCCUUCUCUCCGGGCGCGGGCAGGACGCAGGAGCAGGCGGAGUCGAAAAGACCCCGGCCAUGGAUGGGAGACCUAGGACAAAGAUGGAAAAGAGUGCUUGGCACCAGACAGCUGCUCAAUGAGGAACACAACUGCAUCAUGGAGAAUCCCCAGCAUCCUCAAACCGUUAACACCUAGAAGAAUCAGAAGCACCAGGGAAGUGAGGAGCGCAGUCAACAGGAAACAGCAUGGUCCUACAGAAAUGCCUAUGCUAUAGUCACUCUGCCAGAGGCUGCUCCAGGGUGAAUUAUAGUACAUAUUAGCUCGAAAUUAGCAUCAGAUAGCCAUUAAAAUGAUGCUGAUACAGAUCUAUCAAUAUGGAAAAUGUUUGUGAUAGACGGCUAAGUGAAAAAAGCAUGCCACCAAAAAAAAAAAAAAAAAA